rnacentral:piRNA from 2 species
GUUAGCACUCUGGACUUUGAAUC